rnacentral:rRNA from 1 species
UACGUAGGGGGCAAGCGUUGUCCGGAUUUAUUGGGCGUAAAGAGCGUGUAGGCGGCCAGAUAGGUCUGCUGUGAAAACUCGAGGCUUAACCUCGAGAUGUCGGCGGAAACCAUCUGGCUAGAGUCCGGAAGAGGAGAGUGGAAUUCCUGGUGUAGCGGUGAAAUGCGCAGAUAUCAGGAGGAACACCGGUGGCGAAGGCGGGUCUCUGGGCCGAUACUGACGCUGAGGAGCGAAAGCGUGGGGAGCGAACAGG